CCUACGGGAGGCAGCAGUGGGGAAUUUUGGACAAUGGGCGAAAGCCUGAUCCAGCAAUGCCGCGUGCGGGAAGAAGGCCUUCGGGUUGUAAACCUCUUUUGUACGGAACGAAACGGUCUGCCCUAAUACGGUGGGCUAAUGACGGUACCGUAAGAAUAAGCACCGGCUAACUACGUGCCAGCAGCCGCGGUAAU
rnacentral:rRNA from 1 species